rnacentral:rRNA from 1 species
CCUACGGGGGGCAGCAGUGAGGAAUAUUGGUCAAUGGGAGAGAUCCUGAACCAGCCAAGCCGCGUGAGGGAAGACGGCCCUAUGGGUUGUAAACCUCUUUUGUCGGAGAACAAAACCCGGGACGUGUCCCGGACUGCGUGUAUCCGAAGAAAAAGCAUCGGCUAAAUCCGUGCCAGCGGCCGCGGUAAUACGGAGGAUGCGAGGGUUAUCCGGUUUUAUUGGGUUUAAGGGGUGCGUAGGCGGUCCGUUAAGUCAGGGGUAAAAUUGCGGGGCUCAACCCCGUCGAGCCGUGGAAACUGGCAGACUUGAGGUGGGGAGAAGUACGCGGAAUGCGCGGUG